rnacentral:lncRNA from 1 species
GGCAGAGGAGAAAAAAGGAAGGAGGAAGUAACUUGUGGAAUGCUGAGAAAGAAGCCAUUUAGAUUUUACAGAAAUGUAGCUCCUCAUACAUUAUAUUGUUCCUAUGAAGAAUUAGAUUGAAUAAAGCUGCUUUGAAUAAAGCUCGUAUUACCAGCUACCACAUGUGAUGGAAAGAAUCCAAGUUAAACACUCUCACCAGAGCAUGCUCCAAGACAGAUGACUGAGCCCCAGGCUUGGCCAAUACAAUGCACUUCUAUUCUCUAUUUAUUUUUGUAGUUCAAAGACCUGGCAGUAACCCACUUGAUGCCUGCCAUAAGGACCAGUACACUCCUGAUUACUGCCCAGCGAUUUUAUAUCUGUAUGCCAGCUACUCAGACCACGUAUAAAGACUAGGGGGAUUUUUUGAAAGGAAAAGAAACCCCGGCUUCCACUUAUACUUUGAAAUUUCAGAUGAUGUACUGCCAACUUACAGACCUUGCUUUAAUCAGCAGCCACAUGAAAAGGCUGUUUCUAUUUACUCUAGGUCAUUUAGGAAACAAGCAAUAAGUAGGCCUUGCAAAAUUUCAGCUUCUCUUAAAGUUGGCAUGUUUUCCUCAAA